rnacentral:rRNA from 1 species
GAUGAACGCUGGCGGCGUGCCUAAUACAUGCAAGUCGAGCGAACGGACGAGAAGCUUGCUUCUCUGAUGUUAGCGGCGGACGGGUGAGUAACACGUGGAUAACCUACCUAUAAGACUGGGAUAACUUCGGGAAACCGUAUCUAAUACCGGAUAAUAUUUUGAACCGCAUGGUUCAAAAGUGAAAGACGGUCUUGCUGUCACUUAUAGCUGGAUCCGCGCUGCAUUAGCUAGUUGGUAAGGUAACGGCUUACCAAGGCAACGAUGCAUAGCCGACCUGAGAGGGUGAUCGGCCACACUGGAACUGAGACACGGUCCAGACUCCUACGGGAGGCAGCAGUAGGGAAUCUUCCGCAAUGGGCGAAAGCCUGACGGAGCAACGCCGCGUGAGUGAUGAAGGUCUUCGGAUCGUAAAGCUCUGUUAUUAGGGAAGAACAUAUGUGUAAGUAACUGUGCACAUCUUGACGGUACCUAAUCAGAAAGCAACGGCUAACUACGUG